AUGACCUUCGGGUAUAUUCUGCGGAGCCAAUCUCAGUACACAAAAUGCAGAUUUCAUUGCGUUUAUACAAGUAUUGGUACCCAAAAAAAAGUUGUGAAACAGGUAAACGUAUUUAGUAAAAGCGUUGAUUUGUACAAUGAUGUAUUCUUUACGAUCAGUUUUUCCGCUAAGUUUUCCCGAUAUAUCUAUGUGAACGGUAUGCCAAGGAAUGCUAUUUUUUGGAAUUGGAUGUAAUUCAAUUUGAGGUUUUCCUGACGUACCCUUAGAAACUCUGCAUGUAAUGCAGUUCUCCAAAAAUCUCGAACAUAUUUUGUCAUACUAGAAAACCUGUAAUGAUCGUACACCUUGUCUAGCGUUUUCUCCCAACGUAGAUGCAUGAUAGACUCAUGUACCUGAUCUAUAACUGACCAGCGGAAUGCACGAGGAACUACCGGUAAACAACGAGCUCUUGAGUUCCUCUGAAUCUUUUUAUACAAAACAUUUGAUCUAAUUUCCUAAGUGGCAAUUAAUGCCAAUGGUAAAUCGUCAUUAUUCAACUUAGUUAAGAUUUCUGGUACUUCUGGAUCCUUUUGUUGUUCCACCAGUAUCCAGUUUUCCGAUAUUUCUGUUAGAUCAAUUCGCUUCUCUUCUGUUUUAUUCUUUUGACACACCGGAUUCCUAGAUAAAAAGUCCACGUGUGCUAUGCGUUUACCUUCUCUGUAUUCAAUUUCGAAUUCAAAUGUUUGUAAAAACUCCCACCAACGAUAAACCUUAGGUGCCAUUUGACUUUAUUUCGAGAAGACUUGAUUGAAUUACAGUCAGUAAAAAUCACAAAUUUUCUCCCAUGCAGAUACGACAGCCAGCGUUUCCAAUUCAUAGGAUGUGUACCUGGACUCACAGGAGCUAGUUGCUCUACUAUAGUAUUUAACCACAUGAGGCUUAGUGUUUAUGCGGUGCAAAAGGAUAGCACCAUACCCGAUAGAGCUGGCGUCGGUAUGCAGUUCUAUCGGAAACUGGGGUUCAAAAAUUAUUAAAACGGGCUUGUUUGUUAAUACACUGCUGAUUUUACUGCGAAUUUCUUCAUGCUGUGGCUGCCAAUCAAAACUAUUCUUUUCAGAUGUGAGAAAAUGAAUGAAUUGACGAAAAUAUGACACUAACCCAAUGAACUGUCUUAGAGUAGCAACUGACUUCGGUGGAGGCAACGCCACUAGCGAUUUUAUUUUGCUUAAAUUUGGACGUAUCGCCUCUCCCCCGCAUUUAUCUCAUAGCCACGGUAGCGAAAUGUAGAUCUCAAGAAAAAGCACUUCGAAAUUUUAAAUGAGAAACCUUCACUAGAACGUCUCAUACAAGUUGCAACCGCUUAUACGCUUCUUCCAUCGUUUCUGAAACAAUUAAUAUAUCGUCCAUAUAAACGAUUACAAACGAA